rnacentral:rRNA from 1 species
AUUGAACGCUGGCGGCAUGCCUUACACAUGCAAGUCGAACGGUAACAGGUCUUCGGAUGCUGACGAGUGGCGAACGGGUGAGUAAUACAUCGGAACGUGCCUAGUAGUGGGGGAUAACUACUCGAAAGAGUGGCUAAUACCGCAUGAGAUCUACGGAUGAAAGCAGGGGAUCGCAAGACCUUGUGCUACUAGAGCGGCCGAUGGCAGAUUAGGUAGUUGGUGGGAUAAAAGCUUACCAAGCCGACGAUCUGUAGCUGGUCUGAGAGGACGAUCAGCCACACUGGGACUGAGACACGGCCCAGACUCCUACGGGAGGCAGCAGUGGGGAAUUCUGGACAAUGGGCGAAAGCCUGAUCCAGCAAUGCCGCGUGCAGGGUGAAGGCCUUCGGGUUGUAAACUGCUUUUGUACGGAACGAAAAGCCCCGGGUUAAUACCCUGUGGUCAUGACGGUACCGUAAGAAUAAGCACCGGCUAACUACGUGCCAGCCGCCGCUGUAA